rnacentral:rRNA from 1 species
GAUGAACGCUGGCGGCGUGCCUAAUACAUGCAAGUCGAGCGAACAGAUGAGGAGCUUGCUCCUCUGACGUUAGCGGCGGACGGGUGAGUAACACGUGGAUAACCUACCUAUAAGACUGGGAUAACUUCGGGACACCGGAGCUAAUACCGGAUAAUAUAUUGAACCGCAUGGUUCAAUGGUGAAAGACGGUUUUGCUGUCACUUAUAGAUGGAUCCGCGCCGCAUUAGCUAGUUGGUAAGGUAACGGCUUACCAAGGCAACGAUGCGUAGCCGACCGGAGGGGGUGAUCGCCCACACUGGAACUGAGACACGGUCCAGACUCCUACGGGAGGCAGCAGUAGGGAAUCUUCCGCAAUGGGCGAAAGCCUGACGGAGCAACGCCGCGUGAGUGAUGAAGGUCUUCGGAUCGUAAAACUCUGUUAUUAGGUAAGAACAAAUGUGUAAGUAACUAUGCACGUCUUGACGGUACCUAAUCAGAAAGCCACGGCUAACUACGUG